UGAAACGUGCUUGUGUGAUGAUGCUCGCGAGUGACACAAGGCUGAAUUUGAAGGGGAAGACGGGAAUAGAUUCACACCUUGUCACGGACUGCCGGCAGUGUAGGAGUCCGCUCUUGCUUUCUUAAGUGGCCCAAAGAUAGAGCAGUGCUACCGCUUUCUGUGGAGAGCAUGGGUCAGGAAGAAUUGCUGUACAUGUUCACCAGGGCAAUACUGAGAACAUAAUGCUUGAAAACAAUCAACUGAAACCAUGAAGAAGAAGAAGAAGAAGAAGAAGAAGAAGAAGAAGAAGAAGAAAGAAUAUGAAUUCAGGAACACUAGAAGUGAUAGUUUUCAGAUCUUCUGCCUUUUCUCCUUUUUUGUUCUUUUAAUCUCUUUUCUUUUUCUUUCUUUCUUUCUUUCUUUUCCCCUGUAGGUUCUCUGUAGCUGAUAUAUUCCAGUAUGGAACUGGAACUGAAGUUCAGCUUUUAUUUUUGCAGCUACCUGUUGCCCAGGCCUUUCAGAUGGGUCUCGUUUUUCCUUCCAUCAUCUUUGGAUCUGAUGGGAUUUAAUUUUCAUAAAUUAAUUAUUGCUACUAGAAAUGCUAAAUUAUAGUGAUGAACUUCUUUGGUUUAAGUUUAAAUAUAUAGCCUGUCAUUUACAGUGA